rnacentral:rRNA from 1 species
UACAGAGGUCCCAAGCGUUGUUCGGAUUCACUGGGCGUAAAGGGUGCGUAGGUGGCGAGGUAAGUCGGAUGUGAAAGCUCGGAGCUCAACUCCGAAAUGGCAUUGGAAACUACCUUGCUCGAGGGUUGGAGGGGGGACUGGAAUUCUCGGUGUAGCAGUGAAAUGCGUAGAUAUCGAGAGGAGCACCAGUGGCGAAGGCGAGUCCCUGGACAACUCCUGACACUGAGGCACGAAAGCUAGGGGAGCAAACAGG